AAUCAAGUGCCUUAAGGGUGUUCGGUGGAUGCCUUGGCGCUGAGAGGCGAUGAAGGACGUGCUACGCUGCGAUAAGCCGUGGGGAGCUGCGAAGAAGCUUUGAUCCACGGAUUUCCGAAUGGGGAAACCCACCUUCGAUAGCUGGAACUCCAAGAUUUUGUAUCUUGGGGUUCCCACAGCAAUGUUUGAGACCAAGCCGUGAGGUUUUGGAUUUCCAGUUAUCAAGUGAAGGUAUGAAAUCUCUGAAUUCAUAGGAGGUUUUAAGCGAACCCAGGGAACUGAAACAUCUAAGUACCUGGAGGAAAGGACAUCACUAGAGAGUCCGUUAGUAGUGGCGAGCGAACGCGGGCCACGCCACUGAGACAUCAAAGACAACCGCAGCCUCUCAGGAAAGCAGGGC
rnacentral:rRNA from 1 species